rnacentral:rRNA from 1 species
UACAGAGGCCUCGAGCGUUAAUCGGAAUUACUGGGCUUAAAGGGUGCGUAGGCGGAGCGAUAAGUGCCUUGUGAAAUCCCAUGGCUCAACCAUGGAAUUGCUCGGUAGACUAUCGUUCUUGAGGUAGGUAGGGGUCACUGGAACUCUAGGUGGAGCGGUGAAAUGCGUAGAUAUCUAGAGGAACGCCGAUGGUGAAGACAGGUGACUGGGCCUAUUCUGACGCUGAUGCACGAAAGCGUGGGGAGCAAACGGG